rnacentral:lncRNA from 1 species
GCGGGAAGAAGGGUUUCUCAGAAAACUUUCCAAGAUAAAAGACGAGAACCUUCCAGACCCAUUGCCCCACCUCGCGUCCAGACCCUUUUACAAGAAAACAAUAGUGAACGUGAAAUCGAGCACCUUCUUUGGCUUCUCAGUGCACAAUCUGGCCUGCGUUUGAAUAAAGGAUCCCAGUGCGAGUCCUUUUAGCUUCCCACUGCCCCUUGGUCCGGCCGCAGGGGCUAUUUGUCUGUCUGAUCCUCCCUGGCAGCUCCUGGACCUCCGGGCAGUCUCCUAGCUGUCGCCCCCGCACACCACGGCUGGCUCAGGGGUCCUAGAGCCCCCCGACUCCAUGACGCCAGCGCCUGCAACGCGCCCCGAAGCUGGCAGGAUGUGUUGAGGGGCGGACAGCGCAUCGUGUCCCUCACCCCCAAUCCUCAAUCUCAGGGGCUCUAAAGCCCGGCCACUCAGACCCCAGGCCUCCACGACCCGGUUCCAGAAGGCAGACUUCCCGCAUCACCAACCUCCUUCAGAGAAGCCAGCCAGAGUGUUACCCGCCAAGGCCCAGGCGCGACGACCGCAGAGGCGUGCGGGGACCCAGGGCCGGGCCCGCUGCUCUCCGCCUGCCUGCGCCGCUCGCUCCAGCAGACUGCUGCCUCUCCGGCGGCGCCUGCCGCAUCGGGUCCCCAAGCCCUGGGCUGGCGGAAACCGGAGGAAGGUGGCGCGGGCACGAUUCUUCCCCCCAGCCCUGGCGGGGGAGCUGGAGAGGGCGCAGCGCCGCCCGGAGUCGGAGGCGCCCGCCAGCCCGCGCGCUGCCCGCCGCGCCCGGGUCUGGAUCCCCAGCGACUGCGCCGAGCGCCUUGGGAGCCGCAGGAAACGCCUCCUGCUCCGCGGUGGUCGCCACCAAGUUCGAGAAGAAAGGUGCAGUACAGAUAGAAGCUGCGGGGCUCCCCGUUCCCGGAGGCGGCGAGGCUGGAGCGCAGCGGAGCCCCUACCUUUCCGGCGGGGCGGAUAACAGCCGCGCGCCCUCUUCGGGCGUCAUGUACAGGAAAAUCACCGCGAAGGGAGGGCGGGCGAAAGGCGGCGGGUGGCUUCAGGACAAGACUUUUUGA